rnacentral:rRNA from 1 species
CGGCGAGUGAAGCGGCAACAGCUCAAAUUUGAAAUCUGGCCUCGGCCCGAGUUGUAAUUUGCAGAGGAUGCUUCUGGCGCGGUGCCUUCCGAGUUCCCUGGAACGGGACGCCACAGAGGGUGAGAGCCCCGUAUGGUCGGACACCAAGCCUGUGUGAAGCUCCUUCGACGAGUCGAGUAGUUUGGGAAUGCUGCUCUAAAUGGGAGGUAAAUCUCUUCUAAAGCUAAAUACCGGCCAGAGACCGAUAGCGCACAAGUAGAGUGAUCGAAAGAUGAAAAGCACCUUGAAAAGGGGGUUAAAUAGUACGUGAAAUUGUUGAAAGGGAAGCACUUAUGACCAGACUUGGGCCGGGCGGCUCAUCAGGGGUUCUCCCCUGUGCACUCCGCCCGGCACAGGCCAGCAUCGGUUUUCGCGGGGGGAUAAGACCGGCAGGAACGUAGCACCCUCCGGGGUGUGUUAUAGCCUGUCGGACGAUACCCUCGCGGGGACCGAGGUCCGCGCACUGCAAGGAUGCUGGCGUAAUG